rnacentral:rRNA from 1 species
UACGUAGGGGGCAAGCGUUGUCCGGAAUCAUUGGGCGUAAAGAGCGUGUAGGCGGUUUGUCGCGUCUGCUGUGAAAAUCCGGGGCUCAACCCCGGACUUGCAGUGGGUACGGGCAGACUAGAGUGUGGUAGGGGAGACUGGAAUUCCUGGUGUAGCGGUGGAAUGCGCAGAUAUCAGGAGGAACACCGGUGGCGAAGGCGGGAUCCUGGGCCAGUACUGACGCUGAUGAGCGAAAGCGUGGGGAGCAAACAGG